rnacentral:rRNA from 1 species
AGUGAACGCUGGCGGUAGGCCUAACACAUGCAAGUCGAACGGCAGCACAGUAAGAGCUUGCUCUUACGGGUGGCGAGUGGCGGACGGGUGAGGAAUACAUCGGAAUCUACUUUUUCGUGGGGGAUAACGAAGGGAAACUUACGCUAAUACCGCAUACGACCUACGGGGGAAAGAAGGGGACCUUCGGACCUUGGGCGAUGGAUUAAGCGGAUGUCGGAUUAGCUAGUUGGCGGGGUAAAGGCCAACCAAGGCGACGAUCCGUAGCUGGUCUGAGAGGAUGAUCAGCCACACUGGAACUGAGACACGGUCCAGACUCCUACGGGAGGCAGCAGUGGGGAAUAUUGGACAAUGGGCGCAAGCCUGAUCCAGCCAUACCGCGUGGGUGAAGAAGGCCUUCGGGUUGUAAAGCCCUUUUGUUGGGAAAGAAAAGCAGCAGGUUAAUACCCCGCUGUUCUGACGGUACCCAAAGAAUAAGCACCGGCUAACUUCGUG